ACCCUACCUCGGACCUGGGGACACCCUGGGGAGGAGGCUGGCGUAGAACCGGAGUCUGGGCGCCUCCCUCCCCCCGCGGCGAACAAUAGCCGCCGCCUCCACCAGGCGGUCGGGCGGUCCCGCGCCGCACAAAGACCGGCGGGGCCCGCGCCGCCGCGAGACGCGCGCGGGCUCUCCGCUCUCCCGGCCGGCGGCGGGGCGCCGGAGCAGCCAGGCUGGGGGUGGUGGGUGUUCCUGAAUGCACCUGGAACCCUUUCGGAAAGACAAACGCCGUUCCUCCUACUUCAGAACAAGCCUGGGCCAGCUGGGAUCCGACCAGAAACCGCAAGCGGAGGAGACGUGGGCACCCAGGGUGGGCGCUAACAGGGGGCGCGAGGCCGGAGGGAGCGCCAGCCGGUCACCUCCUCGCUCCGUGGCGGGCACCACCCGCCUGCGGACCACGCAGGGUGCCCAGGCCCCUCUGAAGACCCUACGCGACCCCCUGAAGGGGCCGAAUCUAACUCUGAUGGCAGGACAAGAAAAAUUCCAAUGCGUCAGAAGGUUUUUGCAGGCACUGUUUUAUUUUUAAAAAGUCUGAAAAAGAUGUCUGAGGAAUUAGAAUUCAGGGUAUGGUCUGAAGUAGUUUGGUUGUCUUACUUGCGCAUAGAAGUAUUUGUGUAUUUGGGAGGACGCAGGAUAAGACCUCUCUGUUGAACUGGAACUAGACGAAUGCCAUUUAAAGUAACAAUAAAAAUGUACUUAAAACACCAA